AGAGUUUGAUCCUGGCUCAGGACGAGCGCUGGCGGCGCGCCUAACACAUGCAAGUCGAACGGAGCAUUGAGAGCUUGCUUUUAAUGCUUAGUGGCGAACGGGUGAGUAACGCGUGAGUAACCUGCCCUUGAGUGGGGGACAACAGUUGGAAACGACUGCUAAUACCGCAUAAGACCACAGAGCCGCAUGGCUCAGAGGUAAAAGGAUUUAUUCGCUCAAGGAUGGACUCGCGUCCAAUUAGCUAGUUGGUGAGGUAACGGCCCACCAAGGCGACGAUUGGUAGCCGG
rnacentral:rRNA from 1 species